rnacentral:rRNA from 1 species
AUGACCACGAAGGAGCCGAUCCCGCUGCUGACACCGCACAGGAUGGGCCGGUUCGAGCUCUCCCACCGGGUGGUGCUCGCGCCUCUCACGCGCUGCUGCUCCUACGGCAACGUGCCGCAGCCGCACGCGGCGUUGCACUACUCGCAGCAGGCGACAAAGGGCGGCCUGCUUAUCGCCGAGGCCACCGGCGUCUCCGCCACCGCCCAGGGGUUUCCUGAUACUCCUGGCAUCUGGACGCAGCAGCAGGUCGACGCUUGGAAACCCAUCGUUGAUGCCGUUCACGGCAAGGGCGCUCUGUUUUUCUGCCAGAUUUGGCACGCCGGAAGGGUCUCCUCAAACGAUUUCCAGCCGGAUGGGCAUGCGCCGAUCUCCAGCACCGACAAGCAGAUACCGCCUGAUGCUGAGUCCGGCAUGGUCUACUCCUAG